rnacentral:rRNA from 1 species
UUGACCUCGGAUCAGGUAGGAAUACCCGCUGAACUUAAGCAUAUCUA